GCACCAGUGGUCUAGUGGU
rnacentral:siRNA from 1 species